rnacentral:rRNA from 1 species
GAUGAACGCUAGCGAUAGGCUUAACACAUGCAAGUCGAGGGGUAACGUGUUGGAAGCUUGCUUCCGAUGACGACGACCGGCGGAUGGGUGCGUAACGCGUAUGCAACUUGCCUCACAGUGGAGAAUAACCCGGAGAAAUCCGGACUAAUACUCCAUACACUCUUAAGUACGCCUGUACAUGAGAGGAAAGAUUUAUCGCUGUGAGAUAGGCAUGCGUCCUAUUAGGUAGUUGGUGAGGUAACGGCUCACCAAGCCGACGAUAGGGAGGGGUGCUGAGAGGCAGAUCCCCCACCUUUGGACCGGGGCACGGCCCAAACUCCUACGGGAGGCAGCAGUGAGGAAUAUUGGUCAAUGGAGGAAACUCUGAACCAGCCAAGUCGCGUGAAGGAAGAAUGUCCUAAGGAUUGUAAACUUCUUUAGCGAGCGAGUAAGGACUUCCACGUGAUGGGAGUUUGAAAGUAGCUCGAGAAUAAGUAUCGGCUAACUCCGUG